UACAGAGGGUGCGAGCGUUAAUCGGAAUUACUGGGCGUAAAGCGUGCGUAGACGGUAGCGUAAGUCAGAUGUGAAAGCCCCGGGCUCAACCUGGGAAUUGCAUUUGAGACUGCUCUGCUCGGGUGCGGAAGAGGGAAGCGGAAUUUCCGGUGUAGCGGUGAAAUGCGUAGAUAUCAGUAGGAACACCAAUGGCGAAGGCAGCUUGCUGGGCCGUUUCUGACGCUAAGGCACGAAAGCGUGGGGAGCGAACAGG
rnacentral:rRNA from 1 species